rnacentral:ribozyme from 1 species
CUCAAAGAAUUCUUUCUCAACUUUCAGAAUUCCUCAAGAUGAGAAAUUAUUGCUCGGGAUAAUCGGGGCAAAUGUUGCAGUGUUUGGUAUGUGGAGCUGGAGCUCAACUCGAGGCUUCCAAACGCAACAGUUCAUGCGCGACCACUUCACCUUGUCUGCGGAUGGGGUGCUUCGGAAAUUGCGGUUCCAUACAAUGGCCACAUCAAUGUUCUCACAUGCUGACUUUGGCCACCUACUGUUCAAUAUGAUAACACUGUACUUUUUUGGCCGGGAAGCCAUCAUGGUGCUGGGUGCCAAGAG